rnacentral:tRNA from 1 species
GCGCCAAUAGUCUAGUAGCAGGAUACUCGCCUCCCAAUAUGGAGAUACGCGAGCGGCCCGGGUGCAAAUCCCGGUUGGCGCA